GACUCCUUAGUCUAUGUGGUUAGGACAUAGGAUCUUCAUUCCUGGGAAGCCUGUUCAAGUCUGGCAGGAGUCA